rnacentral:rRNA from 1 species
UCCAGACUCCUACGGGAGGCAGCAGUAGGGAAUCUUCGGCAAUGGACGAAAGUCUGACCGAGCAACGCCGCGUGAGUGAAGAAGGUUUUCGGAUCGUAAAACUCUGUUGGUAGAGAAGAACGUUGGUGAGAGUGGAAAGCUCAUCAAGUGACGGUAACUACCCAGAAAGGGACGGCUAACUACGUGCCAGCAGCCGCGGUAAUACGUAGGUCCCGAGCGUUGUCCGGAUUUAUUGGGCGUAAAGCGAGCGCAGGUGGUUUAUUAAGUCUGGUGUAAAAGGCAGUGGCUCAACCAUUGUAUGCAUUGGAAACUGGUAGACUUGAGUGCAGGAGAGGCAGACGGAAUUCCUAGUGUAGCGGUGAAAUGCGUAGAUAUUAGGAGGAACACCAGUGGCGAAGGCGGUCUGCUGGACAGCAACUGACGCUGAGGCGCGAAAGCGUGGGGAGCAAACAGGAUUAGAUACCCGAGUAU